rnacentral:rRNA from 1 species
UUGGAGCAGGCAAGCAGGGUGCGCAUCAACGCUAUUCUUUUAGAGUCGUUCUGUCCUGAUCCUCACAUAUAUGUAUAUGCGAGUCCUGACCGAUCGUGAUCGUCAACACACCUUGCAUGGACGUCGAGAGCGAAGACUUCAGUGUCCCACUGCACCCUGACUUAAUUCGACGUAGCUAGUGGUCGAGUACCACCACCAUCCUCUUGAUCCGCAACCCCAAAGUCAGUACCCCACCAAGGAUCGCGGAGUGUAGUGGUUCGAGUACCUCUAACGUGCCCUCACGCGUCGGAGGUUCACGUACGAGAUGCCCCUGUCGUGCCUCUACGACGUUUUUGACCGCCUGCUAGAUAUACUGUAGUUCACCGUGGAGCUGGGUCUGUCGUGGCUGAAGCAGUUGCUGGUCCCGUUCGAACUGGCCGAUACCGCCGAGUUUCUGCUGCAGGUGGCGCACCUCCUCUAGAACCUGGACAAAGUCGACCUCUAGGUACUGUAGCUCUGUUGGCCAUUAAUGUAUUGUUCUUUAUUCUUCGCGGACGUGCCGUUCUUUCAACUCAACAGCGCAGUCGACCACUUUCACGAGUUCUUAGAUCUGCUCUGGGCCCUGUCCCGCGCCCUUGAGGCUGUACCGCGUCCGGGAAGGUACAGCGGUUUUCGUCUUUGACCGGUCGUGUGGUACUCCCUGUUCUCCUCGAAGAAGCCCAUGGUCCUGCUCAUACGGGUCGACCAGAGAUACAACACCGGCGUCGUCUUACCGGUGUUCGACCACUUCCACCUGCGGUUCCGCGCCGCCCAAUAGCGGUAGCAGCCGGUACGGCCCUACCCCUUCUGUCUCGAACGAGCGGUCCACAAAGCCCUGCGGUUUCCUUUCAAACUAGAAACGUAUACCCACGUGCGGAUACCGUUCUUGUUCCUCAACCUGGAGGACUUUCUCUAGACCUCCAGACGACUAUCCGGACAGCCGCUAUACUUGCAGAGUUCGGAAGUCUUCUUCUACCUUUUGGAUAACCGUAGGUUCUCCACGGAAGACCACGAGCUACUACAUACCUUGGUACUCAACCGCUGGUUGCUCCUCCUCUCCCUCGUCCGUAGCGACCGCGACCUUAGUUAUUACUCGAAACGGGUUCCACCUUCGGCUUAGCACUACUGCUGAGCACGGUUCUAAACAAGUCACUGUAAGUUUCGUCGACGUUCGUAGUAGGAUUUACCUUAGUUUGGGUUCCUCUACUGUGAAGAUGAGUUGGUGUGGCGGUUCGAUUCCUGGCUACCAUGAUAACUGUUACUACUGUUUUUUUAAGUUGUCGAGCAUUUGUUCGUCCACAGGUUCUACUUCCCCAGGGGCAACCGCCGGCACCUCUAGCCGGUGCUCAACUCCUUUGUUUGGUGUCAACUGUUCUCCACGCUGUAUAACGUGUUGCAACUCGUAGUAAACCUGUGGCACAAUGUCCGGGUAGACAAGUGCAUAGCGGUAGAGAACGGCGCGGACGUCGCGACGAAGCUCAAGACGUCGUAUAAGGGUAUGUUAACCUCCAAGCUCCGACUCUUCAACUGGUUCUACACCUAUCGAGUACCAAAGCAGCUCCUCCUGCGGGUUGUUCUUCCAGCCUCGUACCUCCUACAGCGGUGUCUGAUGAAGGUAUCGGACCACCUAGCAAGUAACAAGGUUCUUCUUCCUCCGCUUGGUCGACCUCCGUUGCCCUGCUGGAUACACUAGGUACUCGUCCAGGUAACCUACUAUGCGUACCGGAGAUGGUUCUUGACGUAGUCGUAGAGGCCGUGUCGUCACUCUUCGUAGGGAGGGUGUCAAGCAGUGAACAGACAGUGGUCGUCGAGAGAACUAGUCGAGUUCCGUAUAGGAUUUUAGUAUCAUGAGUCGUUAUACUCCUGGGACGAUCAGGAUGUCUCGUUAGUACCACUACUACUACUACUACUAAGUUGUAGUAGCUGCGGGAACUAGUCAUGUCAACUGUCUCAUGAGGUCAACUGUUCCCAUAUGAGUUUGACAAGUUCCCGCACUCUCAUGACCUGGACUGUCUCUGUCCUGAUUGUGUCGACGGUCCUUGAUAGCCGUUCGACUUUGUACAGGCGAUGGAACCCGAAGGCUCGUGGUACUCCUUAGACACACUACUCCAGUGGCCCAAUGACAAAGAGGUCUGGAAGUCGGAACCCCCCUUCUACGUCUUAUGGACAGCCGACGUCUCCAAAGGGUUUUCCUACUUGUCCGAGCAGUUGUACGCUGUGGAGCUGUACCUGUACCUCACGUAGCGGUUGUAGUCACCGUAGCCCUCCUACGCAUUUGACGUUCCUAGGUAGCUCAAGUUCCGGCAGUCCCGCAGUCUCUUUGUUCCCGUGUGGUACAGUCUCGAACCGCCCUACUUGAGAGACGCUCCCUGCGACUCGUAUUUCCCUGAGCUGCGGCAGCGGCCGUUCCUCCUCCGGUAGUUCCGAGCUGAGCUGUUGUUCUCACGGUAGUUCCAGGAGUUCGAACUUACCUCCGGAGAUCUAGGUGCCGCUCAACUGCCACCUGGACGGCUGAGGCUGCGGCGACGGCAGGAACUUCCAGAGCUCGGAGUGGCCCCGGAGGUACUCGACGCGUAGUGCUCCAUGGGACCCCGCUGCAGCGGCUGAACCAACCCGGCCCCGUACUACCAGUUGGACCGCGCGGACAUGGAGUCCUUGACGUCCUCCGACGUCCGGGACGGACGGCAGCCGCCCGAAGGAACGGACCUCGAAGAGCUAUAGUUCCUCGACGGGACGCAGCUCUCCUAGCUGCCACUGAAGACGUCGCCGCCACGCAAGGGCCGUGACUUCCUCUACCACGAGCUGCUGUACGGCUCCGACCACCGCACCCUACUAUACGGGUCAGAUCGGAAGGGACACGAGUCCCUGCAUUCGUAGCGGCUGACGGGUGACGACAGGAGGAACAGCCCGGAGGUCGCGACGUCUCCAGGGUAGGUGGAGACGCAGUUCCCUUGCUGCCAGGAGCGUGCCCGCUGGGACGGGUUUUUAAAGUUACCGCCAUUGAGAUGAACGUUUAAAAUGAUCGCGGGUACAAAUUUUAUGGAGAAGUAAUAUGAUGAUAUAUCAUAUAGAGAGGAAACUCUCGGCCUUAAAAAAAGACGUAGAGAGCACUUCGACUUACAAAUGCGAGGUACUAUAUGAUCAUCACGUGGCUUAGUAAAGAUCAACAUUAAUUAGUUUACGUGUUGUGGCAACUACUUUACCCAAUUUUGGGUAUAAACACCAAGUCAGAUACAAAUCCGGAAUAGAUUCUUUUCUUUUACUUAGGGUUUGUAAUCAUGCACACGGUUCUGAGCUGGGACCGGUACUUCGAAUAACCAAAGAUUAAGAUAUCUUUUAUUUUUGCUUGAAUUUUUAUACUUUGGGCUGUACCACAGAACAUACUGUUUUUAUUCUUCUCCGGUUUAUACCGUGUUUUUGCAUUCUUCAAUAACUUUGAAGUGUUAGGAGAUUGGGAUUAGAUUAAAAGGGUAUAACUAGAACGUUCAAAACGAACGUUCCAACCUGUGAUAACCUUAAGGUACGAAGAGCUCAUGAGGGAGGCAAGGAUUUACAUUCAGAAACAUCUCUAAGGUCAUAUUUGGCGUAUGCCUACAUAUAUCUACGUAAAAUUCAAAUCUAAAUAAGUAAAACGAGGCAUACAUCAGGUAGAUUACUUUAGAGAUAUUUUUGAAUAUAAAUCCUUGCCUCCCUCAUGAAUACAGAAACGAUACAAAGUAAGGUGUUGAGCUGUUUUGUGCAGAAAAAACGACUCUUGUUUCGUGCAGAAUUCGACUUGUUCGAGUACCUACUCGCCGGUGACGGCCUCGUUUCGGACCGGGUCUAAACCCCGUUCCGAGCCCCAUCGACUGGGCUUUACCCCGCCUACGACGGUCUUCCCCUAAUUUACUGUAUUUUGACGGGCAUCCCAAAGCAUCUUAAUGUGGAAAAAGAACAGCGACUAUCGAUGGUGUUUCGACUAAAAAACAAAUUUUUGAGUUUACUGGCAAGUCGUAUUUUAAUUAGGC